rnacentral:lncRNA from 1 species
AAAAAAAUUACAUUGUCAGGGAGAUACAGUGAAGUUGCAGGGAGUGACCCGGAACCAAAAAACAGCUGCAUUUAUUUUGAUUCUAUUUUUAAAACCCUAUGUCUUUUUCUUUAGGGUUAGCCAUGGAAUCAUACUUCAAGGCCACCUGGCCUCUGCUUGAGUGUCUCCUCUGGUUUCAGUUCAUUGUCAUGAAGCAAAGAAGCUGACAGGAAAUCUGCUUCAGGCAGAGAUUGAAACCAGGUUUAUGGUUAGCUUCUUACAUCAAUGGAAACAACUUUGCAGUAACUGGAAAGAAUCUUUAAGUGUAGCCUAUCAAAUAACCAACUGUCAAGCCCUUUUGUCAAAUAGCUAAUGAAAUAAAUUUUCAGGAGUUGCAAAGAAGCCAUUAUUUUGAGAAAAACUGUGUGCUAUGAGGGUCUUUGCUGUGGCAGGCCUGAGCCUUCUCAGCUUGCUUUGGGGAAGACUAGCUCAAGGUGCUCUGUUAUGACCAUGCUCUAAU